CGCGAGAUAGAGCAGUGGUAGCUCGUCGGGCUCAUAACCCGAAGGUCGGAGGUUCAAGUCCUUCUCUCGCAA
rnacentral:tRNA from 7 species